CAUGUAGGCGGUUUUCUAAGUCGGACGUGAAAGCUCUCGGCUCAACUGGGAGAGGCCGUUCGAAACUAGGAGACUUGAGGGUGGUAGAGGAGAGUGGAAUUCCCGGUGUAGUGGUGAAAUGCGUAGAUAUCGGGAGGAACACCAGUGGCGAAGGCGGCUCUCUGGGCCAACCCUGACGCUCAGAUGCGAAAGCUAGGGGAGAGAACG
rnacentral:rRNA from 1 species